UCUAUACGGCGAAACUGCGAAUGGCUCAUUAAAACAGUUAUAGUUUAUUUGGUGGUCAGCAAUUACAUGGAUAACCGUGGUAAUUCUAGAGCUAAUACAUGCGUCCAAACCCGACUUCGUGGAAGGGUUGUGUUUAUUAGAUACAGAACCAACCCAGGCUCCGCCUGGCCUUGAGGUGAUUCAUAAUAACCGAACGAAUCGCAUGGCUAUGCCGGCGAUAGACCAUUCAAGUUUCUGACCUAUCAGCUAUCGUCGGUAGGGUAUUGGCCCACCGUGGCAAUGACGGGUAACGGAGAAUUAGGGUUCGAUUCCGGAGAGGGAGCCUGAGAAACGGCUACCACAUCUAAGGAAGGCAGCAGGCGCGCAAAUUACCCAAUCCUGACGCAGGGAGGUAGUGACAAGAAAUAACAAUACAGGGCAUAUAUGUCUUGUAAUUGGAAUGAGUAAACUUUAAAUCACUUUACGAGUAUCAAUCGGAGGGCAAGUCUGG
rnacentral:rRNA from 1 species